rnacentral:rRNA from 1 species
AGGACGAACGCUGGCGGCGUGCCUAAUACAUGCAAGUCGAACGAGACUUUCCUUGGUGGUAACACCUUUGAUUGUCUAGUGGCGAACGGGUGAGUAACACGUGAGAAACCUGCCCUGAAGACGGGGAUAACAGGAGGAAACUUCUGCUAAUACCCGAUACCCCCACCGGAUCGCAUGGUCUGGUGAGGAAAUGGAUUCCGCUUCAGGAGGGUCUCGCGGCCUAGUCAGCUUGUUGGUGAGGUAACGGCUUACCAAGGCUUGGACGGUAGCUGGUCUGAGAGGACGAUCAGCCACACUGGGACUGAGACACGGCCCAGACUCUACGGGAGCAGCAAG